rnacentral:rRNA from 1 species
UACGAAGGGGGCUAGCGUUGUUCGGAAUUACUGGGCGUAAAGCGCACGUAGGCGGACAUUUAAUUCAGGGGUGAAAUCCCGGGGCUCAACCCCGGAACUGCCUUUGAUACUGGGUGUCUCGAGUCCGGAAGAGGUGAGUGGAAUUCCGAGUGUAGAGGUGAAAUUCGUAGAUAUUCGGAGGAACACCAGUGGCGAAGGCGGCUCACUGGUCCGGUACUGACGCUGAGGUGCGAAAGCGUGGGGAGCAAACAGG